rnacentral:rRNA from 1 species
AAUGAACGCUAGCGGCAGGCUUAAUACAUGCAAGUCGAGGGGCAGCAGGUCUGUAGCAAUACAGAUGCUGGCGACCGGCAAACGGGCGCGGAACACGUACAGAACCUUCCUUUAAGCGGGGAAUAGCCCAGAGAAAUUUGGAUUAAUACCCCAUAGUAUUAUUGAGUGGCAUCACUUGAUGAUUAAAGAUUUAUCACUUAAAGAUGGCUGUGCGGCUGAUUAGGUAGUUGGCGGGGUAACGGCCCACCAAGCCUGCGAUCAGUAACUGGUGUGAGAGCACGACCAGU